rnacentral:lncRNA from 1 species
GGCCCACUGGCUCAUAUCCUGAAUAGGAGUUUUGCUGGCAGCUACUUGGCCAAAAUACACUGUACUAGGGAAAUGUUCCUCAGGUUCUUUAUCUAAGAGGAGACCCAGAGCCGCACGGUGCAGAUACCUGCUUAACGACCCGCUCUGCCAUGAAUGGGAGGAACCGUGCUUUUAUCCCAGGCUCCCCUAUGCCCCACCAGAUGCAUGAAUAAGGAAAACCAGGAGCUACUCAGCACACCUCAGAGGGUCCUGUGAGCAGCAAUGAGGUGAAUGAAUGCGAAUGAGCACUGGAAGGUAUUAUCCCACUUUAACAUAGAUAAUUAAUUGUUGAGGUGUUCUUGGCAUAAAACAACAGGGCUGUGUAAAAGUUGUCCCCUUACAUUGUGUGUAUAGUGAAGUUUUAACCACACCCAGGCACUGCUUGAAUGGGGAGCCUGACGUUAACACGUCCAUGACGGUGUUAAGAAUGACUGUCACAAGCCUUCGGCUCCCUUAAAACUCCCAUCAGAAUCUUGGCCAAACCCUUCCAACAUCAGUAAUUCACAACACUGGUCACCUACCGGAGGACAUCUCAGGCACUGCCCCCUCUGUCAUCACAAUCUAGAAGGCGUAGACUGGGGCCCACAUUCUCUUCCUCCCAGAGCUGGGUCAGACUUCGGCCCUGCCUGGCCACUCUGGAACUCCACUAAUAGCCGUUCCACUUGAAGUCGGUGGCCAGCGCAGGGCCAAAGUGGGACGGGUGCCCUUGGACUUCCAAGGCUCCCAGCCCAUCAGAGCGCCAGGCUCCUCACGGAAAGGUUUCCUCCUGCAGCACCAGCCCACUCUACAGCUGUGGGUUCAGGCCAGCGGCACCAAGUGUCGCGGACCUCAGACUGAGGUGAUGAGCAGAGAUCUGUGCACAGCUCCAGUCUCCAGCGUCAUUUCCUGCAGCCGCUGGGAAAGGAAGUGA